rnacentral:rRNA from 1 species
GACGAACGCUGGCGGCGUGCUUAACACAUGCAAGUCGAACGGAUCACGAUGAUUUCGGUUGUUGUGGUGAGUGGCGAACGGGUGAGUAACACGUGAGUAACCUGCCCCGAACUCUGGGAUAACGCUUCGAAAGGGGUGCUAAUACCGGAUAUUGAAUUCCUGCUGCUUGGUGGGGGUUUGAAAGAUUUUUUGGUUCGGGAUGGGCUCGCGGCCUAUCAGCUUGUUGGUGGGGUGAUGGCCUACCAAGGCUUCGACGGGUAGCCGGCCUGAGAGGGCGACCGGCCACACUGGGACUGAGAUACGGCCCAGACUCCUACGGGAGGCAGCAGUGGGGAAUAUUGCACAAUGGGCGAAAGCCUGAUGCAGCAACGCCGCGUGCGGGAUGACGGCCUUCGGGUUGUAAACCGCUUUCAGCUCUGACGAAUUUGACGGUAGGAGCAGAAGAAGCACCGGCUAACUACGUG